UACGUAGGGGGCUAGCGUUGUCCGGAAUCAUUGGGCGUAAAGAGCGUGUAGGCGGUCCGGUAAGUCCGCUGUGAAAGUCGGGGGGCUCAACCCUCGAAUGCCGGUGGAUACUGUCGGGCUAGAGUGCGGAAGAGGCGAGUGGAAUCCUGGUGUAGCGGUGAAAUGCGCAGAUAUCAGGAGGAACACCUAUUGCGAAGGCAGCUCGCUGGGACGUUACUGACGCUGGAGACGCGAAAGCGUGGGGAGCAAACAGG
rnacentral:rRNA from 1 species